rnacentral:misc_RNA from 1 species
GAUGAAGAACGUAGCGAAAUGCGAUAAGUAAUGUGAAUUGCAGAAUCCGUGAGUCAUCGAAUCUUUGAACGCACAUUGCGCCCUCUGGUAUUCCGGGGGGCAUGCCUGUCCGAGCGUCAUUACAACCCUCAAGCUCAGCUUGGUGUUGGGCCCCGCCGCCCCGGCGGGCCCUAAAGUCAGUGGCGGUGCCGUCCGGCUCCGAGCGUAGUAAUUCUUCUCGCUCUGGAGGUCCGGUCGUGUGCUCGCCAGCAACCCCCAAUUUUUUUCAGGUUGACCUCGGAUCAGGUAGGGAUACCCGCUGAACUUAAGCAUAUCAAUAAGCGGAGGA